rnacentral:rRNA from 1 species
CCUACGGGAGGCUGCAGUGGGGAAUAUUGGACAAUGGGCGAAAGCCUGAUCCAGCCAUGCCGCGUGUGUGAAGAAGGCCUUCGGGUUGUAAAGCACUUUCAGUGGGGAAGAAAGCCUUGGGGCUAAUACCCUCGAGGAAGGACAUCACCCACAGAAGAAGCACCGGCUAACUCCGUGCCAGCAGCCGCGGUAAUACGGAGGGUGCGAGCGUUAAUCGGAAUUACUGGGCGUAAAGCGCGCGUAGGCGGUCUGAUAAGCCGGUUGUGAAAGCCCCGGGCUCAACCUGGGAACGGCAUCCGGAACUGUCAGGCUAGAGUGCAGGAGAGGACGGUAGAAUUCCCGGUGUAGCGGUGAAAUGCGUAGAGAUCGGGAGGAAUACCAGUGGCGAAGGCGGCCUUCUGGACUGACACUGACGCUGAGGUGCGAAAGCGUGGGUAGCAAACAGGAUUAGAUACCCUUGUAGUC